UAAGUACUCCCUCCGUUCGGAAUUGCUUGUCACAAAAAUGAAUGUAUCUACAACUAAAAUACAUCUAGAUACAUUCAUUUCUUGGACGAGUAAUUCCGAACGGAGGGAGUACAUU
rfam:Triticum aestivum genome assembly, contig: Triticum_aestivum_CS42_TGACv1_scaffold_095342_2AL